UGGCUGGGGUGCCGCCGCUCCCUCCGAGGUCUGGGCUUGCCUCCACUGCAUCAGCAACGCCGAACUCCAUCGGCGCCUCGACCUCGUCUGCUCCGACAGAUCAGACUGGUACACCUUUAGCCGGGUUUGGUCCGGCCGCUGGACCUCCUAGGUUUGGCGCUCCGGCCAGGCAGCAGCCCUUCCCAACUGGCCCGGUCAAUGCAGUUGUUCAACAAGCCCCCUGCCUAGGCUCGGGCCCCUUUCAGCUUGCUCCUACGAAUAUGAGCGGGCAGGGGUUCGCCUUUGGUACAGGUCUGUCAAACACAGGAGGAAAUAAUAAGAGGAAGAAGAAGAAGGGGCGUCAGCCUGAUGUUCCUGGAGGGCCAACACUUCAGGCGCCCACCGUUAAUGCGAACUUCGCAGUCUCCCAUGGCAUGCCGCCCAUGACCGAUUCCGGCAGCACGGUUGCCGCUCAACAGGAGGGGGCUGGUGUCAAUGUGCCGAAAGCUAAGAAAGAAAAGAUGUACUGUUUCAAAUGCCGGUCCAAUGAUCAUCUGUCCAAGGACUGUUCUGUGGUGCACUAUUGCUACAUCUGCAACAAUUUCAAGCACGCUCUAUUCCGUUGUCCCGUUCUGAAGCAGACCCGGCCCUCUGCAUCGUUUUGUGGACAGGGUUCUAAUGCUACCAUGUUCAUUCAGAUCCCAGAGCAUGUGUGCAAAGACGUGGACACUUCUCCAUCGGCGUCGCCAACUGCCUUGGUCUCGGUCUCCGGCGGGGAGCUACCUGCAGCAGUGCUUGAAGCUGACAUUGCUAGAAUCGUUCGGACCCAGACUCAAUGGAAGUGGGAGGCUAUUCCGCAUGGCAAGGACGCCUUUUUGGUGUCAUUCCCCUCCUUUGACGAUCUCCACCGAAUGGCUGACCUAGAGGUUCGAGUCAAGUCGCACGGCGUUGAGAUUUCUUUCAAAGAAUGGAAAGUUGAAGAUGUCCCAUCUUAUGUUUCUCUAGAGACUGUAUGGGUUCCAUGUUUACGGCGUUCCUCACUCGCUACGACACUUUCUCGGACUUUGGGCUGUUGGAUCGGUCAUCGGAGCCACUCAAGAUGUUGACCUGUAUGCCUUGCGUCGUCAUGGUAUCAUUCGCAUUCAGGUUGCGGUUCGCUCUUUGGAUAUUUUCACCCACAAUAAUAACUUGGGAGGGGAUUCUACGACUGCGGAAGCGUUUGUCAAGCUGGAUGGGUAUAACUUUUGCUAUGAGGUUGAAAAGGAAGACUAUAUUCCGGAUGCGGAUUUUAUACCUCGAAUCUGGAAGAAACAUGAUGAUAGCUCAGACAAAGGUCAUGAACGGAUGAUGAAUUUAAUGGGGAUGAUGCUAGCAAGAAAGCAAAGAAAGUUAGCUCAGGGGGUGUGAAUCCGCCUCCAACCUCGAGUUCGAGCACUCCAGUACCUAUGAUGACUGCAUCCCUCGCCGCGCCGUUGUCCGAGCUGCCGCAUACUACAGGAUCCUCGAACAUGGACGGCGAGUUUGUUGCAGGUUACACUUCGCCGUCGUUAUUGCCGGUGCCGCCUCCGGUCUCGACAUCUGUCAACUUAGGCUCAAUUGUGCCUCCGACAGAACGUACACCGCACCAGGUUCAGCAACAGCGGGCGUUACCUGUGCUUAUGGCACCGCAGGUGCCUGCCGUGAACGUGCAUGGAUUGAUGGGUGCAACUACAGGCAAAGGGGCAGAGACAUGCAUACGUACGGUUCCUUGCAUGGAUGCAUCAGCUAGCAUGUGCUCACUUGUGGAGUUGUGUGGCUCUGGCCAACCGAAGCUGCAGGUAGCCGCUGUCGCUGAACUGGGUACUUCACCUGUCACUAUCGAUGGACGCCCAGUUCAGCCUAUGCCUGCCCAGACCAAGGUUACGCCUACUCAUGUGUCGUCGACAACGCAACAGAGCGCGCCUCUCUGUCCUCUGGCUGCUGCGGUUCAACUCGGUCCAGCCAUGAGGCACAGCAAGGAGAUCUGAUGUACCACCGGGGCCUGGGACUGCUGCACCGUUGGGAUCGCCUCGGUCUGCUCCAACGCCGCCACCGACGCGCCAUUCUACUCCGACCAAUGUGAAGAUUACUCCCAUCCGGCGUAGCGACCAUCACUUCUCCUUUGCUGACGGGUCCUCGAUCACGGACGAGAACUCUCUCACGAAGGCGAUGCGGCGUCAGGCGGAGCGUAAUCUGGACUCACCAAUAGGUUAUUUACCGUUGUACGCACUGGCUUCAUAUGUGGUCUACUCUGCACCGAAUGGAGUACCAAUCGCUGUUCAAGGCGGUGUGUAUGCGGUUGGAGCGGGUGGCCAGGGAGGUUUUUACCCAACAUGGGUGGCAGCAUAAUCUCCGAAUCGAUCCACCUUCUCCGUCGAUCCACCUUCUCCGUCGACAUAGGCAUAGUUUCGGCCCCAUAUGGCUUUACUGUUGCCACUUUGUCGUUUUUAUAUUUAUUUUUUUUUUGUCAGACUGUUUGUUUGAUGGUUGUGUGCAUCUUAGCUAUGCAGAGGCCGGGUGUCGCUCUUUAUGUUUUGUAUCCGCUCGAUGCUACAUUUUGAGUUAAUAAAAGCGCCCUUUAUCGAAAAAACAAUAGACCUCUUCCAUGACUCCCUUUUAGAUAGGGCAAUAUACAGUGUGCUGAUUUCUUGGGCCACGCAUGUAGCGGAUGACCACACUCACUGCAUAGGAUGUCAGGUAUCAUGUGGCACAAAUAGAUGAGCCAGACUACAAGCCAUUUGUAGCUCUCCCUACAAUUGGACUUCCAGAUCGUGCAUACGAUUGAUGAUUUGGCUCGAUAGGAGUUGAAGCAGCUCGACACCCAAGUAUCCAUGCACCACUAAGAAGGUCCAAGACAUACUUCAGCUGCAAGAGAACUAUCCUUUCAAGGACGUUGCAGUUUCCACUGCCUAGAAAAUACCUCUGUUGGCCAAGGUCCUUAAUCUCAAACUCUUUGCUUAACGUCUGCUUUAAUUGUGAUAUCUCAACAGUAUCACCCCUUAUAAUAAUGAUAUCAUCCACAUAUACUGCAAGAACUGUGAUAUGCCUGCCGGAGUUGCGCUAUAACUAUCCCAUACCACACAUAGCACAAUGAAAUUGAUCAAACCAUGCCCAUGGAGAUUGCUUAAGCCCAUAUAAUGACUUUCUCAACCUAAGGAACUUUCAAUGAGUUUGAGAUGUACCAAAACCAGGUGGAAUUUCCAUGUACACUUCCUCAUGAAGAUCACCAUGCAAAAAAAAUGCAUUUUUCACAUCCAGCUGGUAUGAAGGCCAACCCAAAUUUACUGCACGUGAUAUCAAAGUUUUCAGGGUACUCCUCUUUGCCACAGGUGCAAUGGUCUCAUCAUAGUCAAUUCCAUAGGUUUGGCUAUAACCCUUUGCAACAAGUCUGGCCUUAUGUCUCUCCAUCUUACCAUUUGACUCUUGCUUCACGGUGUAGACCCAUUUGCAAUUAACUGCCUUUUCCCUUUUGGAAGCUCUACAAGCUCCCAUGUAUUAUCUACUAUAUCUAAAUAGAUGAUCCCCACUAGCUGAUUUCUCUGUGCUCUCGUGCAGCCACCUCAUCAUAUUUUUUUCCAACCGUUUGAUUGACCACAGGUGGCUCAGAUCUGCAGCGCAAGUGUUGAUUCCCCCGUGCCCCACUCCCCUGCUGUUGACUCCAUCGUCUCCUCGCCUUCCAAGAACACUCAUAUCCUUUGCUGUUCAACUUCCCCAAUUGAUGCGUCGUCCUCUUCUCCUUCCAUCCCUCCCUGCCAAUCCCUAGAUUUCCCAUCAUAAACACACAUGAAACAGAUGGCAGCAUGCGAACAUCACCUAUCGAGGGAUUUUAUUGCUCAUCUCCUUUCGGUGACAGACGAAUUGGAGACCAUGCCGCCACCACGAGGCGGCUGCAUCUUCUUCCUCCCGAGCGCAUGCGACACAUUGGAACAACACCUCACCGAGCACCACCUCACCUAUGGUGAGACACUGGUCGUGGAGGUGGACCUGCUGGCGCUCCUCCACGCCGCCGCCGCCGCUGCCGAGCUGUCCCACCUAAACCUUGUGGGGACAUAGCAUCCAAUACCAUGUGAUCCGUCAGCAUCUGGCCAUGAGGCCAAGGCGGAGAUGAUCCGUCGCUGUUCGCAAGAAAAAGGCCAUGGUACCUGCUCCUACUUCCUCUCCUUCCUUCCGCCUACUCAGGAUUGUUCAGUAAGAAAUUAGUUCAUUGACUGCAAGCUAGAUUAUAUGUUAUCUGUAAAUAAUAUCCCUAUUUCGUUUUGUAAUUAGGACAUUCAACCUUGGCAGGAGCCUUAUACACAUUUAAGGCUGAAGAAUAGACCACUCCAACUGGUAACUUUGCACCGGGUUCCUCUUCUGCUAAAUCAAAGAUCAUAACUUUAUGGAAGCUGAUGGGAAAGUGUACAUGGACAUGAGGUACUGCUUUCAGAUAAGGAGCAGCGUAACUAAAAAAGAGUCUGUACUACUUUUGGUUCUACAUCGUGGCUUCAAGGACGUUCCAGGUAAUCAACGAUCUGAUGAUCUCGAGUGAAGUAGAUCUCUGAAUCCUAAUUGCUUGAAAUAUCUGAAUUUGCAUGUUAUUCUAUCUGAACAAUUAACCUGCCUGCCUUAUCAGCUAUCACACGUUGCACUAUGUCCUCUCCGUUGCACUGGCGAGUGAGCAGGUCGCCAUCCCUUACACAGGAUCCAGCCAUCGUCCGCGUUGUAGGCAUUGUCACACACUAAUUGUUUUUUGCUGGUUGGAUAUAGAUUUGUUUGGAUGAUUUGUGUUGCUGCUGCUUAUUUAAAAUUUGAUUAUUCUUUGACUAUUUGUUUUGAUUUAAUUAGUAAUACCAACAUCUUGGCGCUGCAUACGUCUACUAAAAUGAAGUAACCCAUUCUCAUGUUGUUUGUGCAGAUUUUGUUUUGUCAUGUCAAACAAGGUAGUUAAUGAAAAUUCAAUUCAAUCAGGCUGCAAGUAAGGUGGACCAGUGUAAUCUUUAUAAGGAAGUUAGUACAACAAAGCAGAAAAGCAAAGACAUGGUAGGCAACAUCCAAAGGAGCAAACUUUUUUCGAGAAAACGCAAAGUGAUUUUUGCGUUUCAUUGCAUUGAAAAGGUGAGAGAGAGCACAUGCCUCCUAGGAGGUUAUAUUUACAGGGUCCUAGCGCCUCCGACCAAAGGAGCAAACUAAAAAAUGUUCAAUUAAUUUGUCAGCGAGAGUCUUAUUUGGCUGUGUUUCUCAUGUAUCAACUUGAUUUUCUUGCCUUGAAUUCCUUGCAGUAUAAAUAUUUUGGCAUAUUUAGAUGUAGUUUUAAUGUAUAAAUAUUUUGGCAUAUUUAAAUGUAGUAUAUUGGUGCUUGCAGUUGAACUCCACAACAAUAACACAUUAUCAAUGCCAUUUGUUUUCACAUUAAGAGGCUCCGUACAAUUGUUCACUUAUUAUUCCCGUUGCCAUCCACAACCAAGAGCUAUCCAUUUUAUGUAGUCAUGUUUUAUUUUUUAUUUUAAUCAAUUUAUAACCAUAAUUUACCGCAGCAACGCGCGGGGUAUCAUCUAGUUCUUCUAAAGGGCUGGCAUCUCCAUCACCGCUUCAUCCCACUCAGGAUCUUGCGUUGCUGCUCUCCAAUCGGUUGGGAUUACCAACGAUUGUUAGGAGGCAAUGAAGGCUCUAUACCUAGGUGACGGUGAGUCAUAUGACGCAUAGUUUUCACUUUUCAGUAUCAUGCUCAAAACCGUACCUUCCAAGAGGAUUUCCUGCCCCAGCUCAUGGUUCUUUCCUCAAGGCAAUAGGCACAUUCAUUCAAUCAUCUAUGACACGCAACUGACUCUUAGAUGAGUCCACUUCAUCAAGUACUGGAAUCUGAUGUCGCUGAUGUUGCUCCCCCUGCAAUUGGACCUCGCCAACUACUGGAAUUUAUUGUUCAUGUUGCAAUUUUCUCCUUGCAUGCGCCACUAAAUUUGACUCCUCAUUUGGCUUUCUCCAUCUCUCUUCACUCAUAGGUUUUCUUCUUGUAUACACCCUCAAAGUUUCUUCCUCGUUUGCCUUUUUGAAUCUUUCCUCACUCAUACGACAUGGAACUGUACCAAUCACAACUCUCGAUGGUUCCUCUUUCUCCACCGGCUUUGCUGCAGCUUCAUCCUCUCGGUCGCCGCCACCUCCGUACUUCCUACUCUUGCUUCCAUCCGACCACCAGGACCUAGCAUCGCUGCCAACUGCCAAGACAAGUGCUGCCGUCUCCUCCGGCAGACCCACUCUCUCACACUGCCGGCCGCCGGCUCCAUUCCCGCACAACUACUCCGCCUGGGCCUGUUGGCCUUUUCCCAGAGCUUGUUCCCCGCUGCGCUGACACCCUGGGCGCCCGGAGCUCCACCCCAUGCUGCUGAUUCACCACGGGCGACCUGCAGAACCCAACAUCUUCUCCCACCUGUGCUCUGACACAAUCUUGUCGUUCAGGAAAUAUCUAGAAUCAGUCAACCUUCUCUAUUCUUCUCUCUUGCUUUGCAUGCUAAUGUAUAUGGGCCACAUGGGCCAGGUAACUAACACACACACACACACACACACACACACACACACACACCAGCCAACAGUGGACAACACCCUUCAUGAAUAAUCCUAGUACGCGAGAACUAGUACGCGAGAACAGUUUGUUGCUCCCUAUAGCCGUGUCGUCUUUCAUCAAAAUAAAAUGAAAUAGAACUGUGUCAAAACUGGCCGUUCGGUCAGAGAACAACAAAGCCUUUCAGUCCCAAACAAAUUGGCAUAGGGUAGAGUUGAAACCCAUAAGAUCUCGAAACAUGGUUCUGACACGUGGGUAGUUAACUUCCACGCACCCAUGUCCAUGGCUGGUUCUUUGGUGUUAUUCCAGUCUUUCAGGCCUCUCUUUACGGACCCACCCAUGUGAAGUUUGGUCUACCCCGAUCUCUCUUGACAUUAU